GGCAAUUUGGUCAAAUUGCCUCAGAAGAAAACUAUAAUUAAAAUGCGCAUUCUUCCGUGCUAUUAUUAAACAUUAACAAUUUUCUUGCUCUGGUUGAUGUGACGGUUCUUUUUUUUUCUUGUUUUCAAACUUCCGGAGUCAAAUGUGUUACUGUAGUGAGUGUAGUGUAGCUGAUUUGUGGGAACGACACAUUCUUUUUUUUUUUUCAGUCAGCUAGUACGUUAGUCAACUUUUUUUUUAACAACUAUAACAAUAGGAGCAGAUAUUAUUUGCCCACACGUUGCUGUUCAUACCAUAAAUGUGCUUUAGACUUAGUGUUGCUAGCCUAGUUCAGGAGGAGGAGAUGGUGAAUAUUUUGAAGGAACAGAGCUAGAAAGUGAAGAUGCGGGAAGCGAAAGCUGUAAGAUGAGAAUGAAGUAUCUAAUGAGCAGAAAGAGGAAUCCUGACAUGAGUCCAGACAGAAGAGGAGAGAUGA